rnacentral:rRNA from 1 species
AAAAAAACUUGACGGGGGCCCGCACAAGCGGUGGAGCAUGUGGUUUAAUUCGACGCAACGCGAAGAACCUUACCUGGCCUUGACAUCCUGCGAACUUUCUAGAGAUAGAUUGGUGCCUUCGGGAACGCAGUGACAGGUGCUGCAUGGCCGUCGUCAGCUCGUGUCGUGAGAUGUUGGGUUAAGUCCCGUAACGAGCGCAACCCCUAUCCCUAGUUGCUAGCAGUUCGGCUGAGAACUCUAGGGAGACUGCCGGUGACAAACCGGAGGAAGGUGGGGAUGACGUCAGGUCAUCAUGGCCCUUACGGCCAGGGCUACACACGUGCUACAAUGGCGCGCACAGAGGGCUGCAAACCCGCGAGGGCAAGCCAAUCUCUUAAAACGCGUCGUAGUCCGGAUCGCAGUCUGCAACUCGACUGCGUGAAGUCGGAAUCGCUAGUAAUCGCGAAUCAGAAUGUCGCGGUGAAUACGUUCCCGGGCCUUGUACACACCGCCCGUCACACCAUGGGA